AAUAGAAGGGCAAAUCGCAGUGAGAAAGUAGUAAGGAGCAGCCUGAGGUGAAAAAGGAUUGUUUUCUAUGUGGUGGAUCUCACUUUGCCCAUGAGUGUCCCAAUCGUGGCAAGCCGAUGCCAUUGUUUCCUCCUACAAGGGACACCUCAACAAGGAGAAGGUGCACAGUGUCACGAGCCCAAGUAUUAGCACUCGGGACCUUGUGAUAUUUGGUUUGAACUCUUUCAAGACAAGUCAAUCAUAAGAAUCUCAUAAUAAUUUGUAGAUCAAAAU
rnacentral:misc_RNA from 1 species